rnacentral:rRNA from 1 species
UACGUAGGGUGCAAGCGUUGUCCGGAUUUAUUGGGCGUAAAGAGCGUGUAGGCGGCCAGGUAGGUCCGCUGUGAAAACUCGAGGCUCAACCUCGAGAUGUCGGCGGAAACCAUCUGGCUAGAGUCCGGAAGAGGAGAGUGGAAUUCCUGGUGUAGCGGUGAAAUGCGCAGAUAUCGGGAGGAACACCAGUGGCGAAGGCGGCUUCCUGGCCUGUUCUUGACGCUGAGGCGCGAAAGCUAGGGGAGCAAACGGG